GUAGGUGGCAAGCGUUGUCCGGAAUUAUUGGGCGUAAAGCGCGCGCAGGCGGUUCUUUAAGUCUGAUGUGAAAGCCCACGGGCUCAACCGUGGAGGGUCAUUGGAAACUGGAGAACUUGAGUACAGAAGAGGAAAGCGGAAUUCCACGUGUAGCGGUGAAAUGCGUAGAGAUGUGGAGGAGCACCAGUGGCGAAGGCGGCUUCCUGGUCUGUAACUGACGCUGAGGCGCGAAAGCGUGGGGAGCAAACAGGAUUAGAUACCCUGGUAGUCCACGCCGUAAACGAUGAGUGCUAAGUGUUAGGGGGUUUCCGCCCCUUAGUGCUGCAGCUAACGCAUUAAGCACUCCGCCUGGGGAGUACGGCCGCAAGGCUG
rnacentral:rRNA from 1 species